GAACCCGGACGUUCAGAACCCGGAGAAAGACGACACACGAAGCGGUGGUUCAGACUCUCGAUCUCGAUUUUCUUCUGACUGAUCCACUGGGCCGGAUUGGACCCUCUGGUGGAUCAGUUUUGGGCCAUGGCCUGUAUGUUUGACCCUCCCCCAUGUAAACACUCACCUGCAUGGUGUCUUGGUAAUGCAGCGCCAUCUGCAGGGACUCCUCCAGCUUUUUGUGACAUUCAGUCCACAGUUUGCUCAGGUUGUUCCAGGUGGAGUAGAGCUUUAAAACAACAGGCUGACAUCAGGUCCAUUCCCAGAAUCCCCAGCGUGUCCAGAUCCGCCUGUAAGCCGUCGAUGUCGUCCCUCAGAGUCUGAAGCACAAACACAGUCCCAUCAGACACAGACGGAGAGAAACAAACCAAAGUACAGCUGCUUCUACAGACACCACCA